rnacentral:tRNA from 1 species
AUUUAUAUAGUUUAAAAAAAAACAAUACACUUUCAAUGUAUAAAUAAAUAAAUUUUAUAAAUG